rnacentral:lncRNA from 1 species
CUAAUUAAACCUUAAUAAAAUCUUAAAAAAUUCUAAUCAAAUUUUAAAUCAAUUCUAAUCAAAUCCUAAACCAAUCCUAAAUAAGUUCUAAUAAAAUCUUAAACUAAUCUUAAUCAAAUUUUAACCAACUCUACAUCAAUUCUAAUAAAAUCUUAAUCAAUUUUUUAUCAAGUUUUAAAUCAAAUCUAAUCAAAUUCUAAUCAAUUCUAAAUAAAUUAUAAACCAAUCCUAAACUAAUCUUAAUCAAAUCUUAACCAAAUCCUAAACUAAUCUUAAUCAAAUCUUAACCAAAUCCUAAAUUAAUCU